UGGUUACCGUAGCAACCAGUAACAGACAGCUCUUCCCCCCUUUUUAUGUUAAUGUCUGCAAAUGUGAUAACCAUGUAGAGUGCAGCUGUUUUGUUGGACUAUCUGUCCCUGCAUGGAUCCCACAGAAGCCCCUUAUCACCGACCCUCAGAGCCCCCCAUCCUUCAACUCACACUGCCUCCAGAAAGCAGAGGCAAAAAUAAAUUAAAAACAUGAAGAAAAGGAAGAAAUAAAUGCUUUUCUUCUUGACAAA